CGCAAUGGGCGAAAGCCUGACGGAGCAACGCCGCGUGAGGGACGAAGGCCUCUGGGCUGUAAACCUCUUUUCUCAAGGAAGAAGAUAUGACGGUACUUGAGGAAUAAGCCACGGCUAAUUCCGUGCCAGCAGCCGCGGUAAUACGGGAGUGGCAAGCGUUAUCCGGAAUUAUUGGGCGUAAAGCGUCCGCAGGCGGCCUUUCAAGUCUGCUGUUAAAGCGUGGAGCUUAACUCCAUUAUGGCAGUGGAAACUGAUCGGCUUGAGUAUGGUAGGGGCAGAGGGAAUUCCCGGUGUAGCGGUGAAAUGCGUAGAUAUCGGGAAGAACACCAGUGGCGAAGGCGCUCUGCUGGGCCAUUACUGACGCUCAUGGACGAAAGCCAGGGGAGCGAAAGGGAUUAGAUACCCCUGUAGUCCUGGCCGU
rnacentral:rRNA from 1 species